CCGAUACCGUUGAUAUCCUAAAUCAAAAGUACUUUAACUUAAGCCAUGGAGAUGAGGUAAGUAUUGUACUUUGCAAUGAUUUAGAUGCUGAUAGUCUGCAGAUCCUGGAAGUAGACCAUGUGGUUGACCAGUGCUUACAAGAAGUCAUGUUUGAACUGAACACCCUUAAGCGGAUAAAAGGUAUGACUCCUUACCUUAAUCUCCCCAUAACUCACACGAAUAUGUUUUACAGACCGCAAGAUAGAAUUGAAACCACAGCUCGAACACCUCAAGUACAUUUUUCUAGGUGAAGGGGAAACCCUCUCGGUGAUAAUCUCCAACAAACUCAGCCAAUCUGAAGAAGUAAAAUUAUUGAGGGUACUCCGAGAACACAAGGAAGUCAUAGGCUUGAUGAUAGCUGAUAUCAAGAAAAUUUUACCCUCCACUUGCAUGCACAGGAUCCUGUUAGAAGAGGGUAGUAAACCCAGCAGACAAGUUCAAAGGCGCAUGAACCCACUGAUGAUGGAAGUGGUGAAGAAAAAAAUUUUGAAGUUGUUGGAUAUUGGAAUCAUCUACUUAAUCUCAGACAACAGGUGGGUAAGCCUAGUGCAGAUUAUGCCAAAGAAAAUAGGGGUCAUCGUGAUAGAGAACCAAGAGGGAGAAAAGAUUUCAGUAAGAGUGCAAAAUGGAUGGAGGGUCUACAUCGACUACCGCAAGCUGAAUGCCUUAACAAGAAAGGACCACUUCUUGUUGCCCUUCAUCGAUCAAAUGCUAGAGAGGCUAACAGAAAAAACCCAUUACUACUAUUUGGAUGGCUACUCUGGGUUUUACAAAAUUUUGGUUGCCCCUAGAGGUUAAGAAAAUACCACUUUUACAGGCCCCUUCAAGACUUUCACCUAUCGAUGGAUGCUGUUCAACCUUUAGAAUGCACCUGCCACCUUUAAGAGAUGCAUGGUCAAUAUCUUUUCUGAUUUUAUGGAAAAAAACAAAGAUUUUUUUAUGGAUGACUUCAUAGUCUAUAGAGAUUGUUUUGACGAAUGCCUUGGCAAUCUCACAAAGGUGCUUAAGCAAAGGUGAACGUUAUUAAAUCACUGCCUCACCCAAAAAUUAUAUGGGAGAUACGCUUCUUCAUCGAGCAUGUCAGUUUCUAUAGAAGGUUCAUUAAGGACUUCUCAAAUAUCACACAACCUUGUGCCAUUUACUUCAUAAGGAUAUCAAGUUUAUCUUUGGGGAACCUUGCAAGGAAGUAUUCAAGACACUUAAAGAGAAGCUAGUGACAACACUCAUCAUGCAACCGCCAAAUUGGGGCUACCAUUUAAAAUAAUGUGUGAUGCAAGAAACUAAGCAAUGUGUGCAGUACUCGAGCAGAGAACAGGAAAAGACCCACAUGUAAUCUAUUAUGCUUCUCGCAUGGAGAAAGAGCUGCUCGUUGAGUUUGCCUUGGGAGAAAUUUUAGUCAUACUUGUUGGGAACAAAGGUGAUUGUCUUCUCAGAUCAUGCGGCACUGAAGUACUUGUUGAAGAAAAAAGAGGUAAAAUUGAGGCUAAUACAAUGGAUACCUCUUCUGCAAAAAUUUGACCUUGACAUAAGAGACAUAAAGGGGAUAGAGAAUUUAGUAGCAAACCACCUUAGCAGGCUGCUAAUUAGUGGAGAGGAGCCCUCUCUAUUGGGCGAUGAGUUUCUAGAUGAACACUUGUUUGCGAUUCAGCAUACAGCCCCAUGGUACACGGACAUCGUCAACUACUUUGUUACCCGUGAACUAUCAGCCGAUCUACUAAGGGCUAAGAAAGAAAAGAUAAAAAAAGAAGCAAAGCUACUCGUCUAGAUGACCCAUACCUGUCAAAACAUUAUGUGGAUUAGUUAAUCAAGAGCUAUAUUCCAAAGAUUGAAGUAGCCUCUAUCCUAAAAUUUUGUCACUUAUAUGCCUGUGGGGGGCACUUCAGACCAAAGCGAACAGCCUGGAAGGUACUAGAGUGUGGUAUGUUCUGGCCAUUAUUAUUUCAUGAUGCAUAUACCUACUACAAAACUUGUGAAAAUUGCCAAUGCACGGGAAACAUCAGCCACAAAGAUCAAAUGCCAUUCACUCCCAUUCUGGUAUCUGAAAUCUUUGAUGUAUGGGGCAUCAACUUAAUGGGGCCAUUCCCCUUUUCCUUAGACAAUACCUACAUCCUACGAGCAGUGGAUUAUGUUUCCAAAUAGGUUGAAGCAAAAGCUAUCCAGACCGAUGAUGCUAAGACAGUUGUCAACUUUUUGAAAACACGUCUCUGUGAGGUUUGGAAUCCAAGGGCAAUAAUAAAUGAUUGGGGAACUCAUUUCUACUAUCGGGUGGUCGAAUCUCUCUUCAAAAAAUAUAAUGUCACUCACUACACAUCCACCGCCUACCACCAACAAACUAGUGGACAAACGGAAGUCUCCAACUAGGAAGUCAAGUCCAUCUUAGAAAAAAUGUUUAAACCAAACAGAAAGGACUCGAGUCUAUGACUUGAUGAUGUUUUAUGGGCUUAUCGAACAACAUUCAAGAUGCCAAUCAAAAUGUCUCCAUACUUCCUAAUCUUUGGGAAAGCUUUUCAUUUGCUUAUUAAGCUGAAGCAUAGAGCAUACUGGGCCAUCAAGAGUUGUAACAUGAAGAUGGAGGAACUUGUGGAGCAUCGGAAGCUACAACUAGAAAAACUAGAAGAAAUACGAAAUAUGACCUAUGAGAACUUCAGAAUUUACAAGGAAGAGACAAAAAUACUCAACGACCAAUUUUUUUCCAAGAAAUAAUUCUUAAUUGGGCAGUAAGUCCUCCUCUUUGAUUUCUGACUUAAGUUGUUCCAUGGCAAACUGAGGUCAAGGUGGAUAGGGCCAUUCCUAGUCACCAACAUAUUUCCUCACGGCAUUGUCGAAAUCAAGAGCCUUAACACACAAAAAAUUUUCAAGGUGAACAGACACCAUCUUAGACCUUUUUACGAAGGCUUCUUUGCAAAUAACAUUAAAAAAACAACACACAACCCACCCGAGGCACAUAUCUGACAACAAGUAGGACAGUUUGGCCUUGGACAAUAAAUAAGGUGCUUGAUGGGAGGCAACCCAUCCAUAUUUUCUUCCUUAUGUUUUCUUUCUUGCCCUUCUCAAUUUUAACUUCUUUUUCGGUAAAUUAAUGCAUUUUUUGCUGAAGAUUAAUGUAGAAAUUGAAUUUAUUUUACUUAUUAGUUUAAAUUCAUAUAGGAUUUAUCUUUAAUUAGAUUUAGAACAUGUUUAUUUUUUAAAUAUCAUGUUAUUAGUGGGAAUUUAUCUUUUAAGAGAUUUGGUAAAUGUUUAUCUUUUAGAUUAUAGUAGAUUAUUUUUAAAAAAUUUGAAUUCGAUAUAAGUCUAUUUAAAGGCAUUUUAAGUUGUUAAUUUUGGAGGAGUGAAUUAAAUAAAAAUUUAAUUUUUCUUCACUUAAAAAAAUCCCAACAAGUGGUAUCAGACUUUUAUUAGUCAUGGAUAUGUGAGAAAAAAAAUAAAGAGAAAGUAAGAGAGUUUCAUACAUCAAAUAUGGCCUCAAACACUUUUUCUUUGACUUCACCUCCCAUUUUCACGAGAAAAAUUUCAAUUAUGGGUUGUGAAAAUGCAAACAUAUGUACAAUUUUUUGAUUUUGGGAUGUGGUUGAAAAUGAUGGUGAACCCCCACCAUUGCAAUCUCAUCCAACUGCAGCUUAAUUAAAGAGUCAUAUGAAGAAAAAUCCAAUUACAAAGUAAAAACUUGCUUGUACUUUUCAGUUUCUGAAAUGAUUUUUACUAGGAUAAUGGCUUGUGAAACUCCAAAAGAGAUAUUGCAUUUGCUUAAAACUGAGUAUUUAGGUAAUGAUCAAACGAGGUUGAUGCAAGUUUUGAAUCUUAAGAGAGAAUUUGAGAUUCAAAGAAUGAAGGAAUAAGAAGGAAUCAAAGAGUGUGCUAUCAAACUCAUGACAUUGUUAACAAAAUUGGAUUAUUUGGUGAAGAGUUUUCCGACAAUAGAAUUGUUGAAAAUUUUUUUGUGAACUUAUGAGAAAAGUUUGAACCAAAGAUUUUUUCACUUGAAGAUUCUAAGGAUCUCUCAAAAAUUACAAUUACAGAAUUAAUUAAUGCUUUACAAGCUGUGGAGCAAAGAAGAGCAAUGAGAGAUGAAAAAAAAUUGAGGAAGUUUUCAUAGCCACAGUGUCAAACAAGUCUUCAUCAAGAUCAAAGAGAAGAAACUUUCCACUAUGGUGAGUAUGCAGAAAAAACAAUCAUGAUGAAAAAGAUUUUUGGCAUAAAGGUAAAUCAUAAUAUUUUUAUUGUAAAAAAUUUGGGUAUAUACAAAAAAAUUACAGGUUGAAGAAUGAACAAGUGAUGCGGAACCUCAAGACCCUUGCUUGAACCUUAGAACUCUUCAAUCGGUUUAGAACGGAAUUUAGAUCACAAGUAAAAAAGAAAUUAAAUUUGUUCAAUCAUCCAAAUGGUAGAAGUUAAAGAGAACCCAAUAAAGAUAAAUGAUAUCCCUUGAACCCAAUCCAAACAAGCACCAAGAACAAUUGAAAUAGGAAAUCAAAAUUGAAAUACAAUUGAUAACAAUUGUAUUCCAAAUCAACACCUUGCAUAAAGUGAAAAAAAAAGCAAAAACGCUCUCAACUCAAUUCUGAAAUGUUUGAUUACAACUCUGGAUGUCCACAAAGAAGAGUUCAUUUGGUAUUUAUAGCCAAAGAAAUCAAUGAUAAGUUACAAUACAAUAACUACAAUUGUAACUCCCACAAUAACUAGGUUAAUUAUGUGGUAAUUACAAUUGUAACUCCAACAAUAACUAGGCUAAUUAUAGGCAUGUAAUUGUUAUGUAACUCCUUGUAACUCCAAUCUUCUUAACCAACACCACUAAUUGUUUGUGGCACCACACAGUUAUGGGCUCAUUCUUGUAGUAACACUAAGACAAGACUUAAGCCCAAAAUGAGUUAUACUUAACUAUAUGGACUUAAUUAACUCAAACUAAAAUAAAACAAUACAAAAUACUUAAAACAACUCAAUUAAUCCAGCCCAUACACAAGACUUAUUCAUCCAUUAUCAAUAAGACUCAAACAAGCCCAAAUUAUCCCAAAUCACUUAAAUCCAAUUAAAGUUACGAAUUUGGGCUGUUCAAAAAGUUUAUAUUUGAACUUUCCACAAUUGGCAUCAUCCACAUGUUUUUGAGUAAAAACUUGGAGCAACUCUUUAAGCUUCUUUACCUUUGAUCUUGUUACUGGUCCGCUAAAACUUUCCAGUUUUGGAACUGUAUGUGUUUACAUCAUUUAAAAUUUGCUCCAAGUCACCUUCUGAUGCUCUUUGAGUAUCUUGAGUGUUUUUAGUCUUGUUUGCAUCAUUCCCCCUCCCCUCAAAAGGAUUUGUCCUCGAAUCAAUUCCUGCAUCAAUUUCAAAAGGGGAUAAAUCAUAUAUGUUAAAUGUAGUCGAAACACUAUACUCACCUGGUAGGUCCACUUUGUAGGCAUUUUCAUUGAUUUUGGCUAUGAUUUGAAAUGGACCAUCCCCACGAGCAUCCAACUUAGAUUUCUGUUUUGAUGGAAAUCGUUCCUUGCGCAUAUGAACCCACACCCAAUCUCCGGGUUCAAAUGAAAUCUUGCACCUUCCUUUAUUGACAUGGGAUGCUACUUGUUCAUUUUUCUUUUCAAUGUUCUGCCUUGCUUUUUCAUGAAUUGCUUUAACUAUCUUUGUUUUCUUAUGUCCGUCCAAAUUAAAAAUGUCACUUAUAGGAAUAGGCAACAAAUCAAGUGGAGUUAAGGGAUUAAAACCAUACACAAUUUCAAAAGGAGAAAACCCAGUAGAAGAAUGUAUACUCCGAUUAUAAGAAUAUUCAACAAAUGGUAUCUUAUCUUCCUAAGUUUUAACAUUCCUUCCAAUUAAGCACGUAAUAAUGUACCAAGUGUUCUAUUUACUACUUCAAUUUGACCAUCCGUUUGUGGAUGUGAAGUAAUAGAAAAUAAAAGUUUGGUACCAAAUUUGGAACACAAAACUUGCCAAAAGUGUCUUAAAAACUUAACAUCCCUAUCGGACACAAUGGUUUUAGGAAUGCCAUGCAUUCUAACAACUUCGCGGAAAAACCAAUCCGCUAUGUGUGUGGCAUCAUCUGUUUUGUGACAUGGUAUAAAGUGUGCCAUUUUGGAAAAAACGAUCAACAACAACAAAUAUUGAGUCUCGGCUUUUUCUAGUCCUAGGCAAACCCAACAAAAAGUCCAUAGAAAUAUCAACCCAAUGAUGUGUAGGAAUGGGUAAUGGCAUAUAUAAUCCAUGUGGUUGAACUCUAGACUUAGCUUGCCUACGUGAGAUGCACUGCGCACAAAUUUUCUCAACAUGUUUGCGCAUAUUAGGCCAAAAGAAAUGUUCAUGUAAAAUGCUCAAAGUUUUGCCAAUCCCAAAAUGUCCCAUUAAACCACCACUAUGUGCUUAACGAACAAACAACUCCCUAAUAGAACUAUUAGGCUCACAUAAUUUUCCAUUUUUAAAUAAAAAACCAUCAUGCCUAUAAAAGUCUUGAAAUACUGCAUGUUCACAAGCCACAUAAACAUUUAAAAAAUCACUAUCAUGCACAUACAAUUCUUUGAAAUGCUCAAAUCCCAAAAAUUUUGUAGAAAGAGUAAAUAUAAGACUGUACAUUCUUGAAAGCGCAUCAGCUACCACAUUUUCUUUUCCUUACUUAUAUUGGAUCACAUAUGGGAAGGACUCUGAAUUCUACCCAUUUUGCAUGUCGUUUAUUAAGCUUGCCUUGCCCUUUCAAAUGCCUCAAAGAUUCAUGAUCAGUGUGAAUCACAAAUUCUUUUGGUAACAAAUAAUGUUGUCAUGUCUCUAAUGCUCUUACCAAAGCAUAAAACUCUUUGUCAUAGGUGGAAUAAUUCAAUUGUGCACCAUUGAACUUCUCACUAAAAUAAGCAAUGGGUCUUUUAUCCUGCAUAAGAACGGCACCUAUCCCAAACCUAGAGGCAUCACAUUCAAUUUCAAAAGUUGAAUCAAAAUUAAGCAAUCUUAAUAAAGGCGCAUUACAUAACUUUUCUUUCAAUAAGGAAAACGCAUGUUCUGGUUCUUUUCCCCAAACAAACCCCUUAUCUUUUUUCAUGAUUUCAGUUAAAGGGGCAGCAACGAGACUAAAAUUUUUUAUAAAUCUCCUAUAGAAACUUGUCAAACCAUGAAAAUUACGCACCUCACUUACACUUUUAGGUGUCGGCCACUCUUGAAUAGCCUUUACCUUUUCACUAUCUACCUCGAUUCCUUUUGCACUCACGACAUAUCCUAAGAAAAUGAUGCGAUCAAUGCAAAAUGUACAUUUCUUCAUGUUAGCAUAUAGUUGAAAUUUGCACAAUGUGUCAAACACUUACCUCAAAUGCAUGACAUGCUCAUCAAUAGAUUUGCUAUACACAAGAAUGUCAUCGAAGUAGACAACCACAAACUUUCCAAUAAAUUCACGUAAAACAUGGUUCAUUAAACGCAUGAAAGUACUUGGCGUAUUAGUUAAGCCAAAUGGCAUAACCAACCACUCAUAUAACCCUUAUUUUGUUUUAAAAGCAGUUUUCCAUUCAUCUCGUUUCAUUCGUAUUUGGUGAUAACCACUUUUAAGAUCAAUUUUAGAAAAUACACAAGCACCAUGCAACUCAUCUAACAUAUCAUCAAGUCGAGGUAUUGGGUGUCGAUAUUUUACCGUUACUUUGUUGACGGCUUUACAAUCAACACACAUACGCCAACUACCAUCUUUUUUGGGUACUAAUAAGACGGGCACUACGCAUGGACUUAAACUUUCUCGAAUGUGCCCCUUUUGUAAGAGCUCCUCCACUUGCCUUUGAAGCUCUUUGGUCUCCUCGGGAUUGUUCCUAUAGGCUGGUCUAUUUGGUAUGGCAGCCCCGGGAAUAAAGUCAAUUUGAUGCUCAAUCCCUCUCAAAGGUGGUAAACCUUGAGGUAGAUCAUCGGAAAAAGCAUUGCUAAAUUCCUGCAAAACUUUAACUACAACACUUGGCAAAGAAGAGUCAAGUUCGUUAGUUGAGAAACGAACUUCCUUGUACAUGAGUACAAUAAUUGGCUUGUUAGAAAAUAAAGCUUUCUUCACAUCUCUCAUUUUAGCAUAAAAACUCAUUUUCUUUCCCUCAUUCUUUUUUAUGGUCGAAUGCAUCUCUUUUUCUUUUUCCUUUUGAUCUUCAUUUUUCCACUCUAAUUUUCUCUCACUCUCUUUUCUUUUCUCUUUUUCUUUUUCUUUUCUUUUUCUCUUGGUCUCUCUUUGUGCGAAUUCAUCAUGGGACUUUUCAAGUUGCAUUUGGUCUUCAAAAACUCAUUUAGGGGUUAAAGGAAGAAAAGUAUACUUUUUGCCCUCUUUUCCUACCAUGUACCUAUUGAGAUACCCAUCAUGCAUCACUCUCAUAUCCCAUUGCCAUGGUCUACCCAGCAAAAUAUGACUAGCUUGCAUAGGAACUACAUCACAUAUCACCUCAUCACUAUACUUCCCAAUAGUAAAAGGCACCCUCACUUGCUUAUUAACUCUCAUCUCCCCACUAUUGUUAAGCCAUUGCAACUUAUAAGGUUUAAGAUGUUUGGUAGUUUUCAAACCCAGUUUAUCAACAAAUAAGGUACUAGCUACAUUUACACAACUACCCCCAUCAAUAAUCAUGCUACACAAUUUUCCAUUCACUAGACAUCUAGAAUGAAAAAUUUUCUCUCUUUACAACUUAACCCCCUCAUCAUCAUUCCUUACUUGCAUAUUCAAAGCACGUCUAGAAACCAACAAUCUACCUUCCAUAGGCGUUUCCCCAUCACUACAAUCCUCCAAAGGAGGCAUUUCAUCCUCCACAUCAUUCUUAUCAUCCGUUUCAACAUCAUCACCACACAUCACCAUUACCCUUUUAUUUGGGCAUUGAGAUAUGACCAAAACUCAAGCAUCUAAAACACUUGAUAUCUCUAUUCCUAGGAGUUUGGGAGUCAGAAAUACCUUUGUUUUAUUAUCAUUAGCAUCCUUUGACUUAGUUUUGUCAUCUCUUUUGAAUUGGACAGCCUUGUUAUCUCCCCUCCAAUUCGAUCUCCAAUUGGAAUUUUGGGCCGAGUAAGUGUUGGCUUGCCUUGUGUUCCCCUUUUUCUUUAAUUGUCUUUCAAUCUUUAUAGCCAUGUGCACCAUAUCAUCAAUCUCCACAUAAUGUUGAAGCUCUACAAUGUUGGCUAUGUCUUUGUUAAAGCCAUUUAAGAACCUUGCCAUAGUAGCUUCCCUAUCCUCUUCAAUAUUAGCCCUUAUCAUGGCUAUCUCCAUCUCUUUGUAGUUGCAAACUUUUCCCUAGGCUUGCUCAUCAACUUGCAGUGCGCUUAAAGAAAAUGCAGGCUUUUUAAAAUAUGAGAAGAUAUCCUUCCUGCCAUAAUCCAAGGUUCGAAAAUAUGAGAAAAUCAUUUUGGAAAGAUAAGGAUGAGCCAAAAUUAAAGGACAUGGAUUGGAAAUAAAGGAAAGAAAAAAAAAACCCUAGACUCCAAUCGACUAUAAAGAAGGCGGCUGUCAAAGCUGAAUCAUCUUCCCUUGGGCCUGAGGCCAUGCAAAGUAGAUUUCCCUACUGCUGUAAUUUUUCUUCUUCAUAUUUCUUCUCUCCUUUAAUCACUAAAAACUCUUUUGUAUUGAAACCCACCAUGAGUGGCUAGUUUAUUUCUUUUUCUAGUUGAGGUUUAGUGAACUCUAGUGAUGUAUUUGUCAUAUCGAAUUUAUUUAAUUCAUAUUUUAUUUAAACCUUAGUAUUUAUUUAUUUCAUGCUCCUACAUAUACUUGUUAUGUUUUGAAUCUGUUUGAACAAGUCAAGUCAAAUGCAUGUAGAAGCCGCAAACUGCCGGCUAAACCACUCAAAUUCGUAUUUGUUUGAGCGGUUUCAGCACUUAACAGCGAUCAGUGUGGUACUGAGGAGGUAAGUAACCAGGUUGACUAGUUCAUGCGGAUGAAUCUGACAACUUGAAUCAGGUUCUUCUAGUUUUUAAGGUCGUUGGCACAUAAAAUUCUAUGGGCAUUCCUAAGACUGUUUGGUAGGGAAAAACCAAUCAAUGAAUAUUUCUUGAUUGGUUUAAAAAUAAAGAAUGAUUGGUUGUUGGAACAUUUAUGAUAAUUAUAAUUGGUUGACUAGUUCAUGCAGAUGAAUCUGACAACUUGAAUCAGGUUCUUCUAGUUUUCAAGGUCGUUGGCACAUAAAAUUCUAUGGGCAUUCCUAGGACUGUUUGGUAGGAAAAAACCAAUCAAUGAAUAUUUCUUGAUUGGUUUAAAAAUAAAGAAGGAUUGGUUGUUGGAACAUUUAUGAUAAUUAUAAUUGGUUUGCUAUAGUUUAAAUGAGGUUGAUCCUUGCAUCCAUGAUCAAUUACGUUACUUGAGUUGGCUAUCUCAUCAAUUAGGAAUCCUCUUUAUUAUUACUUUAGAUUUUAACUUACAGCCAUGAUUUUAUUCAACAUCAUUCUGCUUAUUGCUCAUUUUAUGUUUAACGUAACCAAUCCUAUAAAACCCCCUAUUGUUUACUUUUCAUUUGUUAAUCAAGGAAGAAAAUUGAUUUUUGACUCCUUGUGGAUUCGACCAUUCUUACCACUACUACAAUAUUGUUUUACUGGUUAAUUAGGAAUUUAUUUUUGGUGGAUUUGAUAUCGAUCACCUCUCCACGUCCAUGUCUUCCAGGAUGUUGGAAGUAAGCGGCAACCACACCAACAAUCCCUUUACCAAACAAUUGCUACCAGAAUUGAUGGUCUCCCCUAACAACAUAUCCCAUUUCUCCCUACAAUAAGGCAUAAUAAGAUACAAAGGGAGAUUAGUCCUAAGAGGUAAAUAGGAACUUCGCAAUCAACUGCUUUACUAGUGCUAUAAUUCAACACUAGGGGAGUCACUCUAGAGCUAGAGUCACUUAUGAGAGGGCUAACCAACACUUCUAUUGGCCCAAUAUGAAGAAAGGAAUUUUAUAAGAGGUCUAAUAAUGCAACAUCUACCAACGCUGUAAACAGAGCGAGUUCCCACACCAGGGCUACUUCGACCAUUGCUCGUUCUACCAUAUGCUUGGACACACAUAUCCAUGAACUUCAUUGAACAGUUGCCCAAAUAAGAAGGGAAGGACAUUAUAUUAGUGGUAGCAGACCGCUUCACAAGUAUGAACAUUUCAUUCCCCUGUAGCACCCCUUAUUGCAGUCGGAGUAGCCCGAAGUUACAUGGAGACAGUAUAAAAGAUGUGUAAAAUUCCACAGGUAAUUAUGACUGAUCGAGAUAAAGUAUUUACAAGUUUAUUCUGAAAGGAGCUAAUGAAGGCAGUGGGGACAAAUUUACUCUUCAGUACUACAUACCACCCUCAGACAGAUGGACAAAUAGAAAAACUCAAUCACUGUCUAAAAAUGUACCUACAAUGCAUGGCUAACCCACAACUAAAGACUUGGGCCAAAUGGUUAGUCGUAGCUGAAUGGUGGUAUAGCACUUCGUACCAUACAAGUUUGAAGAUAACACAUUUUCAAGCACUCUACGGGUACCCACCUCCACAUUUCUUUGAUUCCCUAGGAUUCUACUCUGCAUUACCCUCAGUACAGAUGGUCCUAGCAAAAAGAGAAGAGGCCAACAAGACCAUAUGUCAGCAGCUACUACAGGCACAAUCUAGAACCAAGCAAUAGAGAGAUAAUCAUCAAAGUGAGAAGUUUUGAGGUCAAUGAUUGGGUAUUGCUCAAACUACAUCCUUUCAAAUAAGGGACAUUUAAGAAGGGACGAGACUCCAAAUUAUCACUUGAUACUACAGACCAUUCCAAGUCUCUUAAAAAAUUGGGAAGGUAGCAUAAAAACUCCAGUUACCUAAAGAAUCAAAGAUUCACCCAGUUUUUCAUGUGUCCCAACUCAAGAAAUACAUCCUGGCCACAUAGGAAAUCCAACAAGACUUGCCCUCGCGAAUCAUGAAAGACUUCAUUAGUGUACAACCAUAACAAAUCUUAAAACAAAGAACCAUAUUACGAGGUAAUUAACCAGUGGAUCAAGUUCUUAUCCAUUGGGAAGGAGAUCAAACCAAAAAAGAAUUGUUGGGAAGGAGAUUAAACAAAAAAAUGCAUAUGGGAAGAUUACAAGUAUUUAUAACACUAGUUCGUACACCUCAACCUUGAGGACAAGGUUACUGUUCAAAGGGAGGGUAUUGUUAGGAAACCCCUCAAGGCUUGUCACAGGAAAAAGCACAAGAAGGGAAAUAUGCACAUUAAAGGUGAAAAAUGGGGAAAACCUAUAACGAAUUGGGAUUAUGGUUGACCAACCCUAAUGGGAUUCAUCUCAUCUCAUAGUCGACGCCUCUCCCAUAUGCAAUUCAUCCCACAGUCGACAUCGUGCUCAUCAUCAUCAUGCAACUCUGGCCGCUCAAUUUCAGUGAGUAUGAUUUUGCCAUAGAGGUCAUUUUUAUUUAUUGUACUUAUGCCUAUAAAAGGCUCUCUUCCAUAAGUUGUAAUCAUAAAAAAUAAAGAAUCAAUAAAAUACCUAUAUUUUCCUCUCCUAAACCUUCUUUGUCUUCACAUAUUAUAGCCAUGUUGAAGGCUUUUGACAACACCUUGAUUUCUAAAAUACAAAAAUGUUCCCCUUAUAUUGGGACAUUUCCUCAUGCAUCAUGAAAUGCAUUAUCAUUUCACAUUUUUUUAUUUGUGGCAUUUGGAUUGGAGGCAAAAAUCCAUAUUAAUGAUAGAAGUAGCAACAUUGUCUACCUAAAGUGUCCUUGUACUAUAUUCUAAAAUAAAGUUUUACCAAAUAAACUGUGUCAAAAUUUGUCACAUAGUAUUGCUUAAGACUAAAUAAUAAGUUCAAUCAUUUUUAAAAAAAAACUAAUAGUCAUUUUUUAAAAAACUAUGGCAGUAGUUGAAAUGUCUUUACAUAUUGAACUUCCUCUAGCAUGAUAGACUUGAAGUAGGUCACAAAUCCUACCAUUAAGCGUACACUGACCUAAUCGCGAGCCAGUUUUAAACCCCAACAAGGCACAUCAACCAGUAAGGUUUUGAAUUGAGAACAACCAACUAGAUAUGAGGAAUUGUCUCAAACAAUUGAACAGGAAAAUAAUCCAAACUUAAGCAUAACCAAAACUUUAACUUUGGACAUAGUCCGAAGCUAAAACACAACCAAAAUAACCUGGCUUAGUGCACAUAGUCUUAAGCUCAGUCUUUAAGCAGGAGUCAACAGAGUUCAUCUUGCUCCAAGACCCAGUUUCAUGCACACAAACUCAGUUCGUCCCAGGACUUGGAUGUCGCCUUGAAGGUAAUGUUCAGCCCAACCGAGGAAAAAAUUAAAAUAGUUGCUACUUUUGUUCGAAUAUUUUAUUGCUCCUCCCAAUACCUAUACUGGAUGCUACUGAAAAAAUCUUGACCAAUUUCACAUUUUGUACUAUCUAAUGUUGUCGUAUACUAUUUUGUCUAGCCACCAGCAAAAACUACCUUAAUAAUUUGAUGAGGAAAUGAUUUGGUAAAACCAAAUUUGAACCAUUCCUAAUGAACAAAGGCUUGACUGAUCAUUGCAUCCGAGCACUAUAUACCAAAUAUCAACUACAAGUUCAUAGAUCCAUAUGUAAAUGGUGAGUUUUAAUUAGUAAUAAUUUAUAAGAAAAAUUAAAAAAAUUAAGCUCAUAACCAGGCCUAGCAUGUUUAAAUAGCUUAUCAUAAAUAACUCUUCCUGUAUAAAACACACACAAAUCAUUAUGUCAAGUAAGCCUAGAUUGGAAAGUAAAGAACUUGAAAUUAAAGGGAUUAUACCUUUGCUUUAACUAGGGAUCUCUAGAAUCAAGGGCAAAUUCUUCUAUUUGAAGCCCCUCGGAAAGAUGAAAAUCAUAAUGUUCUUGCCUUUCCUCAAAAAAAUAAGGAGGAAACUUUAUCUCGCAUAGAGAACACUUGUAGCCAUUGCUCCAUAAUAAUAAUGGCUCACUCUGAUUGGAUGUAGAAGUAGCUUCACUCACUAUAUCAUCAGCAUUCUCCACCACCACAUCAUGGUUGCUAUACUCAAUUUUUUUUAUAUUCAAAUAAAUCUUUUUUCAACACUUCUAAUUUUCUAAUAGACUUUGGGGUAUGAAGUGUAUCAUCUGUAAUCCUCACCUAUUACAGAAAAUAUACAACAAAGCUGGAUGAGAAAUGGAUGUCAAAAAUAGGUCAACAAAAAUAAAUUAUCAACAUAUUCAUGUCCUAGGCAGAAUGAUGAAAUUACUUUAGGCUUAUCAGAUACCCUAUCCAGAUUUUCAAUUACUAAAGGUUCAUGAGAUUCCUUCUACUCCAGCAACAUUGCUUCUAAAAGUUAAACCUUCAACUGGUUUCCCAAAUUCAUGAUGAUGUGUCUCAUGUUUUUCAGCAGAAAAGCUGGUUCCCUUUUCAUUCAUCAAGUGGCGUUCACUAACAUCUGAGCUCAUGGAAAUUUAUUCAUUAAGAGCUCUCCUAAAAGAAUGUCCUGAUAUGAUGAAGUUGGCAAGAGUCUUUUGUGUAAGAUCGGGAGUGUAGAACUUCUCUUCAUCAAACUAAGACAUUCGCAGGCCUGGCAGUAAACAAAGAUAAAUAUGUUAUUAUAUUCAAUACUAAUAUUCUAAAUAAAACAAGUGUAAGAUUAAUUUUACUAAAUAAAAAUACAAGCACAAUUUAAAACAUGAACCGCAUUGUAAUGACAUAAUAGUUCCAUAAUGAAAUAAAAAUCACAACCUACAAGCCUUAAUGGAAUAGGAGGAGGAGGAUAUUGUGGACUAAAACUCGUAUUUAUUUUAACUUUCAUUUGCCCAAAAAACCUGUUUUAAAUUAAAUCACCCAACGACAUCGUUUAAUUAAAAGUAUGUAAAAAGAUAAGGACAACCCUUUAAGUGUCACUAGACACAGAGAGAACAGGCUUGUUAUUAACGGAGGUGAAGGUGAUUUACUUCAAGCCUCAAACAAAUUCCUUUACUCUAAAAGAGGCGACCCCAAGUCUGCAUUCAAGACCAACAUCUCUGAUUCUCCUCUUAAAAACUUUCUGGAAAUUUUAUUUCAAAACAUGACACAGAAGGAGAAGGAUACAAUGGGAUAAAUAUUAUAUUUAUUAUUAAAUUUUAAUUACCCAACAACAUUGUUUUAAAUUAAAUUGCCCCAAUAACAUUGUUUAACAAAAAUGUGUAAAAAAAAUGAGGACGACCCUUUAAGCAUCACUGGACAUGGAGAGAACUGGCUCGUUAUUAGUGGAGGUGAAGGUGCUCAGCUUCCAACCUCACCUAAACUCCACCACUUUAAAAGAGGUGACCCCAAGUCUAGUUGAAAACGAACAUCUCCAACUCUCCUCUUAGAAAUUUUUUUAAAAUUUUCUUUCUGAACAAAACAUAAGAGGAGGAUAUAGUGCACUAAAUCUCAAAUUUAUUUUUAACUUCAAAUUUCCCAACGACACCAUUUAAAAUUAAAUCGUCCACUGACACCAUUUAAUUGAAAUGUAAAAAAAAAUGAGGACGACCCAUCAAGCGUCACUAGAUACAGAGAGAACCAGCCUGUUAACAGUGGAGGUGAAGGUGCUCUGCUUUCACCCUCAGGCAAACUCUUUCGCUCUAAGAGACACGACCCCGAAUCUGUGCAGGACCAACAUCUCCAACUCUCCUCUUAGAGAACAAGACACAAGAGGAGGAGGAUAUAGUGGACUAAAGUUCGUAUUUAUUAUUAACUUUCAACUGCCCAAUGGCACCAUUUUAAAUUAAAUCAUCCAAUAAAACCAUUUAAUUGAAAUGUAUAUAAAAAUGAGGACGACCUUUCAAUCGUCACUGGACACAGAGAGAACCUACCCAUUAUCAGCGGAGGUGAAGUUGAUAUGCUUCCAGCCUUAGGCAAACUCCUCCUCUCUAAGAGAGGAGACCCCAAGUCUACGUUCAAGACCAACAUCUCCAACUUUCGUCUUAGAAUAUUUCUAGAAAUUUUCUUUUAGAAUAAGGCAUAGGAGGAAGAGGAGGAUAUAUUGGACUAAAGCACGUAUUUAUUAUUAACUUUUAAUUGUGCAAUAAGAUUAUUUUAAAUUAAAUCGCCUAACGAGACCUUUAAUUGAAACGUGUAAAAAAAAUCAGGACAACCCUUCAAGCAUCACUAGACAUGGAGAGAACUGGCUCGUUAUUAGUCGAGGUGAAGGUACUCUGCUUCUACCUUCAUACAAACUCCUCCACUUUAAGAGAAGCGACCUAGAGUUUGCAUUCAAGACUAACAUCUUGAACUUUCCUCUUAAAAGAUUUCUAAAAUUUUUCUUUCAGAAUGAGGCACAGUAAGAGGAGGAGGAUAUAGUGGACUAAAGCUCUUAUUUAUUAUUAACGUUUAAGAGCUCAACGACACCGUUUAAUUGAAACAUGUAAAAAAAUGAGGGCGAUCCUUCAAGCGUCUCUGGACACAGAGAGAAUCAGCCCAUUCAACAGAGGUGAAGGUGCUCUACUUCUAGCCUCAUGCAAACUCCUUCACUCUAGAAGAGACGACCUUAAGUCUGCGUUCAAGGCCAACAUCUCUAACUCUCAUCUUAGAAAAUUUUUGAUAUCUUCUUUUAGAACAAGACACGGGAGGAGAAAAAGAAUAAAAUGGACUAAAGCUCGUAUUUAUUAUUAACUUUCAUUUGCCCAAUCAUACCAUUUUUAAUUAAAUCACCCAAUGAAACCAUUUAAUUGAAAUUUGUAAACAAAUUGAGGACAACUCUUCAAGCAUCAUUGGACAAAGAGAGAACCAACUCGUUAUCAGUGAAGGUGAAGGUGAUCUACUUUCAACCUCACUCACGCAAACUCCUUUGCUCUAAGAGAGGCGACCCCAAGUUUGCUUUCAAGACUGAUAUCUCUGAUUAUCCACUUAUAAAAUUUUUGGAAAUUUUCUUCCAAAACAAGAGGAGGAUAUAGUGGACUGAAGCUCGUAUUUAUUAUUAACUUUCACUUGCCCAACAAAAUCGUUUAAUGGAAAUGUGUAAAUAAAAUGAGGACGAUCCUUCAAGCGUCACUAGACACAGAGAGAACCCACUUAUUAUUAGUGGAGGUGAAGGUGCUCUGCUUCCAGCCUCACGCAAACUCCUUCGUUCUAAGAGAGGUGACCCUAAGUUCAAGACCAACAACUCCAACUCUCCUAUUAAAACAUUCCAUUAAAAACUACUGUAAGGAAAUAUAUAAAAAAAUUAUGUGCACUAUUAAUAACAAAUGUGGGAUAAGGAACCAACAUUCCCAAGGUCUUGGGUCUCUUAUGUGGAUAAUGAAAAACUUUACGUACCUUUCUAAAUUUUGCAUGUAAGUGCUGGUUUUUUACUAUGUUUUGUGACCUAGAGUAGAUUAUGGUUUUAGUAUAAUUAUAUUUUUGUUUAUGUUGAUGAGAAAAUCUGUAGAUUUAUAGUGUGCAUGAGGCUUAGAAAGGAGCCAUCUUUAAGUUCAUUAACUUGCUUUCGCAUAAUACGAUACAUAAAAAUAUACAUAGAGUGCACACACCUAACAUUAACCACAUUCAUCCCAACUUCCUUAAUACGGGCUUGUACAUGCUAGCUUUAUCUAAUAAAAUGAAGAGUUAUUUGUUUACACAAAAACCCAAUAGCUGCCAUUUUAGCAUCUUUAAUCUCUCUCCUAAUCCAUGUGGGAUAAAGCACCCAUAAACUCUUAAAAUAUCUCGUUCAUUCUUUUAACUCCAUCAUCUACAUAUUACUCCCCUGUUAACUUUCCUCCUCUUGUCAGGACAUAUUUACUUUUAUUCCAUUAAUAAGAAUUCCAUCAUCUAUAUGUAAAUUUGAUCAUUUUAUCAAUUUUGAUGGAGCCACCAUUUCUUGUCAGGGUCUUUAUCAAUAUGCUAUUCACUUUUACGAUCACUUACAAUCCAACAACCGCAAGGCAUAUUGCACAAAUAAACUUGAACAAAACAAGACAAGUUGUUGCACAGAUGAAGCUGAAGUUUCAAAGAUAAUAGAGCUACACUAUUGGCUGCAAGGAUGGUGAAAAUCACUAGAGAUUGUACUUUUCUAGUAGAAAUUUAUAUAUUCAUCAAUUGGUGUCAUGAUCAACACAUGAACGAAAAACAACUUCCAAUUUAGGACACAUGAGAAUAUAAUUUAAUUUUAAUAAAAAAUUUCUUAUAUUCACCUUGCAAGUGUCUUCCCUCUUUGCUUAGAUCUUACUUCCAUAAGUUAGGAAUAACUUUUUAAUUUUUAUUUUUCAAUUUAUAUUUAUACAAGAAUUAGAAUAUAAAUAAAAUUAUUUUUAAAAACAUCAAAGAUAAAUAUUUUUAAAUUUAAUGUCAUCUCUAUUAUUUUUAUUUAAAUUAAUUUAUAUAAUGUCAGAAAUAAAUAAAUAAAUUUUAAAAAUAAGAAUAAUUUUGUAAUUUACCAGAAAGAAAGAGCCUUACAUUUGAAGCAAAUGGGCACUGCAAAAUGAUAUGUAGGGAAAUAAAAAUAAAUUUAAAAUAAUAGCAGGAGCUUAAAAAUCAAAGUAUUAAAUUUAAAAAAAAAACACAACUAUUAAAUAUGAAAAGAAAAAUUAAAAUAUUGGGUAUUUAACUAUAUAACUUCCCUUUAUUAUUAUAAUUAUGAGCAAAUUCAUUUAGAAGAAGUUCUAAAGACAUUCCAAGAUAAGAAGUUGUAUGUAAAACAAUUCAAGUGUUGUUUCUUCUAAAUAGAGGUGGAGUAUGUUGGGCUAGUCGAAGGGUGGAAAUGGACACUUGAAAGAUCGAAGCCAUGAUCAACUGGCCAUUCCUUAGAUGAUUAAGGCCUUACAAGUUUUCUGGGCUUAAAAGGAUACUAUGACAAAUUAUUACAGACUCAUAGCCUAACAACUCACUCAUUUUUUUUAAAACAGUGCUUUUAAAUGGAAUGCAGAAGCAAAUAAGACCUUCCAGUCGUUAAAGGCAGCCAUGACUUCCAGCCUGGUCUUAUAACUGCCUAAAUUCGGGGAUCAUUUUACUACAGAGACAAAGGUGAGUAAUAAAGGUAUUGGAGCAAUCUUAAUACAAGAGAAUCAACUCAUCACCUUCAUAAGUACGACUCUCAACCCCAGGAAUUAAACUAAAUUGGUAUACGAGAAGCAACUGACAGAAGUUCUCUAUGUUGUAGAAAAAUAGGUGCACUACUUAGAAAGAACCUCCUUCAUCAUUAGAACUAAUAAGCACAACCUAAAGUACUUGUUAGAUCAAAGGGGGGUAUCCUCCAUGGUAAAACAAGAGGAGAUUUUGAAGUUGUUGGGUCUCAAUUACAUGAUCCAAUACAAGCAAGUGUCAUCCAACAAAGUAGCUUACGCUUUUUCAAGAAAAUACUCCGAUGAAUUUGAAGCAGAAGUCUUAUACACCCUCUUGAUAGGGUGUAAAAAUAACAUCCUCGUCACCUAUGUUUGUGUGUCUAAAAUGAACUAUUUGCUGCAUGAUCAAGUUAUUUUAUCCAUUUUGAUGUAGGACAGAAGUUGGAACCUAAAGUCAGGAAGAACAGUAGGAAGCAAGGGCGAGAACUAUAAAACUACCAUAUGUCAUGGUCUUAGCCUUGCGCAAGGCUAAGACCGCUCAACUACAGCAUGUAUUGGCCCCCGUACACACCCUUGUCCAAGGGAUACAUUUCAGCAAAAACAAGAAAACGCAACCAACCCUUGGGAACGGUUUGCAUCUAAGGCAGUAGGAUGGGACAUAAGUUAUGAUCUACUAAGCCUUGGCCAAGGCCAAGGUGGCACUUAAAUUUAAAAGGUUCGCACGUAAUUGAGACAAACUUUGCCCUAGGCUUGCACAUCAACCUCCAAUACACUUAAAGAAAAGGGGGGCUUUUUGAAAUAUGAGAAGAUACCCUCUCUAUCGUGAUCUAAGGGUUGAAAAUCAUGUGAAAAUCAUUAUGGAAAGAUAAAGAUGAGUUGAAAUCAAGGAAAUGGAUUGGAAAUAAAGGAAAGAAAAGUAAAAGAAACCCUAUACUCUGGUUAACUAUAAAGGAGGCAGUUGUCAAAGUAGAAUCAUAUUUCCUUGGGCUUGACACCACACAAAGAAGAUUUCCCUGUUGCUACCCUUUUUCUUCUUCAUAUUUAUUCUCUCAUUUAAUCACUAAAAACUCUUUUGUAUUGAAACCCACCAUGAGUGGCUAGUUUAUUUCUUUUCCUUUUUGAGGUUUGGUGAACUCCAGUGAUGUAUUUGCAAGAUCAAAUUGAUUUAGUUCAUGUUUUAUUUAAACCUUGGUAUUUAUUUAUUUCUUGCAUACUUGCUGUUUUGAAUUUAUUUGAACAGGGCCCGUGGAAUGCACGUAGAGGCCGCAAGUAGCUAGCUGGACCAUUAAAUCUGUAAUUGUUUGCUUAGUUUCAACACUUAAAAGCAAUCAAUGUCGCACUGAGGAGGUAAAUAACCUGGUUGACUGGUUCACACGGAUGAACCCAACAACUUGAAUAAGGUUCUUUUAGUUUUUAAGGCUGUUGGCAAGUAAAAUCUUGUGGACAUUCCAGGAUUGUUUGGCAGCAAAAAAUCAAUCAUGAACGUUUCUUAACUAGUUUAAAAAUAAGAAAUGAUUGAUUGUUGAAACAUUUCCAACAACUAUAACUUGUUCAGAAUAGUUUAAAUAAGGUUAAUCCUUAUAUCCAUUAUCAAUUACGUUACCGGAGUUGGCUAUUUCAUCAACUAAAUAUCCUCUUUAUAAUUGCUUUAGAUUUGAACUUGUAGCCUAUAUUUUGUUCAACAUCAUUCUACUUAUUAUUCAUUUUAUAUUUCGCAUAACCAGUCCUAUAAAACCCCCUCUUGUUUACUAUUUAUUUGUUAAUCAAGGAAGAAAAUUGAUUUUCGACUCCAUGUGGAUUCAACCCUUCUUACAACUACUCCAAUAUUGUUUUAUUUGUUAAUUAGAAAUUUAUUUUUGAUGGAUUCAACACCAAUCAAAUUUUGGUGCCGUUGCUAGAGAGACGGUAUUUAACUAAUUAUUUUUUCUUUUUAUGACUAGGUUUAUCGUGGGAGACCACUCUUUUACGAUCCAGAGAUUGAAAAGACCACCAAAAGUCUAAGAAAGCAGACCCAAGAGAGAAGGGAGACACAUCAAGAUAGCAUACCAUCUUCUCCACCCGAGAUAGAAAGUAUGGAACAAGAGUGCAUAUUGAAGGAGCUGGUAGCACUGUCUACCAACCAACAACCUCUCUGCAUCAGCUACCCAGAUCUGGGCGUAACUUUCGAGCUAAAAUCUAGCUUAAUUCACUUGCUGCCCAAGUUCAUAGGUUUAGAGAUGAAAACCCGCACAAGCACCUCAAAGAACUUCAUGUUGUGUGCUCAAGCAUGAAACCACAUGGAGUGUCCAAAGAACAUAUAAAAUUAAGGGCAUUCCUCUUUUCUUUGGACAAUGAGGCCAAAGAUUAGUUGUUUUACCUAUCCUUAGGAUCGAUCAUGACUUGGACAUAUAUGGUAAAAGCCUUCCUAGAUCAUUUCUUUCCAGUAUCGCGGGCAAUUAGCAUUAGAAGGGAAAUAUACAGAGUUCGUCCAAGGGAUUCCAAAAGCUUACAUGAUUACUAGGAAAGGUUCAAACGAUUGUGCGCAAACUGUCUACAUCACGAUAUUUCAAAAUAAUCCCUCAUUCACUACCUUUAUGAAGGAUUAUUACCCACAAAAAGAAGAAUGUUGGACGUAAAAAGUGGCGAAGCCAUAGCGAAUAAGACACCACAGCAGGCAAGGGAGUUGAUAUCGAUCAUGGUAGCCACCUCCUUGUAAUUCGGAUCCAACUGGAACACCCCUUGGAGAGUGAAUGAGGUAAGUAUCUCUACCCUUGAGUCUCAAAUAUCUGAGCUAACUAGUUUGGUAAAAACAUGGCCACAUAAAACAACCAAUGAGCUCAAGUGUGUGGGAUUUGUGCACAUUCGGGACACCCCAAGGAUAUGUGCCCCACGCUCUAUGAUGAUGACAGUAGCAAGUCAAUAUGGUGGGUGGUUUCCCAACUCAAACGCAAAGGAGGUAUGAUCCUUUCUCCAACAUGUAUAAUCUCGGAUGGAGAGACCACCCCAACUUUAGCUAUAGAGUGAGACAACAAAACUACCAGCAAUACCCAAAUAUACCACCUCCACCACUAUAAGCAGGGCCUCCCAAACAAGCUAUAUCCCUCGAAGAGAUUGUUAAGUCACUUGCCACUGACACCCAACAAUUUCAACAGGAGACAAGAGCUAGCAUUUUGAAUUUGGAGACACAAGUCAGCCAACUCGCGACUUCCAUGAGCUAGCUAGAAUCUUAGGGCAAAUUACCCUCCCAAAAAGAAGUGAACCUAUGGCCCAACGUUACUGCCAUCACCUUGCAAAGCGAGAAGGAAUUACUAGAAAACCUUGUCAAAAAAACCCUUGGUCGAGGGUUGCAAAAGGAAAUAGGGUCGGAAGCCUUGGGCAAGGCUAUUAGGGCAACAAUAAAUGACAGUACCUCUCCUGGUAAGACAGACUAUGAUCAACCAAUUUUGUCUCCAAUCAGACCACUCUUCUUGUAGAGAUUCACCAAAAUAAAGAAGAAAAAAGAGGAUAAGGAAAUACUAAAAACAUUCUCUAAAGUCGAAGUCAAAGUCAAUCUUCAUCUAUUUGAUGCCAUUAAACAAAUACCCAGAUCUGUCAAGUUCUUGAAAGAAUUAUGCACCCAUAAGAGGAAACUAAGUAGCAACAAAAGAAUAAGUGUGGGGGAGAAUGUCUCGGCUAUCAUACAAAGGAAGUUUCCUCCUAAAAACAAAGACCAAGAUAGGUUCGACCUUUAUGUGUUAGAUAUGGAGGAUGGCAAAUUUUCAGGUUCCUUUGAUCUCCAAUUAGGCAGACCCUUCCUCAGCACUGCUAAUACAAAAAUAGAUGUGCAAGAUGGAAUCCUCACUAUGAAAUUCGACGGCAAGGUGGGAAGUUUUAAUGUGUAUGAUGUUAUGAAAUAUCUGUUUAUUUGUUUUGUGUGUGCAGCACCGAUACCGUUGAUAUCCUAAAUCAAAAGUACUUUAACUUAAGCCAUGGAGACGAGGUAAGUAUUGUACUUUGCAAUGAUUUAGAUGCUGAUAGUCUACAGAUCCUAGAAGUAGACCACGUGGUUGACCAGUGCUUACAAGAAGUCAUGUUUGAACUGAACUCCCUUAAGCGGAUAAAAGGUAUGACUCCUUACCUUAAUCUCCCCAUAACUCACACGAAUAUGUUUUACAGACCCCAAGAUAGAAUUGAAACCACAGCUCGAACACCUCAAGUACAUUUUUUUAGGUGAAGGGGAAACCCUCUCGGUGAUAACCUCCAACAAACUCAGCCAAUCUGAAGAAGUAAAAUUAUUGAGGGUACUCCGAGAACACAAGGAAGUCAUAGGCUUGAUCAUAGCUGAUAUCAAGAAAAUUUUACCCUCCACUUGCAUGUACAGGAUCUUGUUAGAAGAGGGUAGUAAACCCAACAGACAAGUUCAAAGGCGCAUGAACCCACUGAUGAUGGAAGUGGUGAAGAAAAAAGUUUUGAAGCUGUUGGAUACUGGAAUCAUCUACUCAAUCUCAGACUGUUGGUGGGUAAGCCUAGUGCAGAUUAUGCCAAAGAAAAUAGGGGUCAUCGUGAUAGAGAACCAAGAGGGAGAAAAGAUUUCAGCAAGAGUGCAAAAUGGAUGGAGGGUCUACAUCGACUACCGUAAGUUGAAUGCCUUAACAAGAAAGGACCACUUCUCGUUGCCCUUCAUCGAUCAGAUGCUAGAAAGGCUAGCAGAAAAAACCCAUUACUACUAUUUGGAUGGCUACUCUGGGUUUUACAAAAUUUUGGUUGCCCUUAGAGGUUAAGAAAAUACCACUUUUUCAGGCCCCUUCAAGGCUUUCACCUAUUGAUGGAUGCUGUUCAACCUUUAGAAUGCACCUUUAAGAGAUGCAUGGUCAAUAUCUUUUCUGAUUUUAUGGAAAAAAAACAAAGAAUUUUUUAUGGAUGACUUCAUAGUCUAUAGAGAUUGUUUUGACGAAUGCCUUGGCAAUCUCACAAAGGUGCUUAAGCAAAGGUGGACGUUAUUAAAUCACUGCCUCACCCAAAAAUUAUAUGGGAGAUACACUCCUUCAUCGGGCAUGUCAGUUUCCAUAGAAGGUUCAUUGAGGACUUUUCAAAGAUCACACAACCUUGUGCCAUUUACUUCAGAAGGAUAUCAAGUUUAUCUUUGGGGAACCUUGCAAGGAAGUAUUCAAAACACUUAAAGAGAAGCUAGUGACAACACUCAUCAUGCAACCGCCAAAUUGGGGCUACCAUUUAAAAUAAUGUGUGAUGCAAGAAACUAAGCAAUGUGUGCAGUACUCGAGCAG
rnacentral:lncRNA from 1 species